GAUGAACGCUGGCGGUAUGCUUAACACAUGCAAGUCGAACGCAACUUUUCGGAGUUGAGUGGCGGACGGGUGAGUAAAGCGUGAGAAUCUGGCCUUAGGUUCGGGACAACCACUGGAAACGGUGGCUAACACCGGAUAUGCCUGCGGGUGAAAAAUUAAUUGCCUGAGGGGGAGCUCGCGUCUGAUUAGCUAGUUGGUAGGGUAAGAGCCUACCAAGGCGACGAUCAGUAGCUGGUCUGAGAGGACGAUCAGCCACACUGGGACUGAGACACGGCCC
rnacentral:rRNA from 1 species